rnacentral:rRNA from 1 species
GACGAACGCUGGCGGCGUGCUUAACGCAUGCAAGUCGAACGGAAAGGCCCUGCUUUUGUGGGGUGCUCGAGUGGCGAACGGGUGAGUAACACGUGAGUAACCUGCCCUUGACUUUGGGAUAACUUCAGGAAACUGGGGCUAAUACCGGAUAGGAGCUCCUGCUGCAUGGUGGGGGUUGGAAAGUUUCGGCGGUUGGGGAUGGACUCGCGGCUUAUCAGCUUGUUGGUGGGGUAGUGGCUUACCAAGGCUUUGACGGGUAGCCGACCUGAGAGGGUGACCGGCCACAUUGGGACUGAGAUACGGCCCAGACUCCUACGGGAGGCAGCAGUGGGGAAUAUUGCACAAUGGGCGGAAGCCUGAUGCAGCAACGCCGCGUGCGGGAUGACGGCCUUCGGGUUGUAAACCGCUUUCGCCUGUGACGAAGCGUGAGUGACGGUAAUGGGUAAAGAAGCACCGGCUAACUACGUG